rnacentral:rRNA from 1 species
AUUGAACGCUGGCGGCAUGCUUUACACAUGCGAGUCGAACGGGGUGAGGGGGCAACUCUUCAUUCAGUGGCGAACGGGUGAGUAAUACAUCGGAACGUACCCCGUAGUGGGGGAUAACUCGGCGAAAGCCGUGCUAAUACCGCAUAUGCUCUACGGAGGAAAGCAGGGGACCGCAGGGCCUUGUGCUAUGGGAGCGGCCGAUGUCCGAUUAGCUAGUUGGUGAGGUAAUGGCUCACCAAGGCGACGAUCGGUAGCUGGUCUGAGAGGAUGAUCAGCCACACUGGGACUGAGACACGGCCCAGACUCCUACGGGAGGCGGCAGUGGGGAAUUUUGGACAAUGGGGGCAACCCUGAUCCAGCCAUGCCGCGUGCGGGAAGAAGGCCU